AUUCCAAACCCUCUUGAGCCAAAGACCUUGGCUGCCUCUUCCCACCUUCUCUGAGUUUCGGGCUUCCCUGGAUCAUCCGGCACUAUUCGUUGCCAGACAUAAUGCUAUUGCACUUUUAAUACGCUACGGUACAAGAUAAACAAAGUUUAUGUAUGCACAGUGGAAAAAAAAAAUCACUUGACUUGCUUUACUGUGCCACUGCAGUGGUCUGGAACCAAGCCUGCCAUAUCCCCAAGAUGUGAUGGCUGGAGCUCCCGGAGCUACCCUGGACCAUGAUGUGGCUUGGAGGCUGGGACUCACACAGGACUGAGCAACACGACAUUAACACAUGUGAUGCAGGAAGAGGCUCGAAGAGAGCUUGUCCUUUUAGUUCCUGGAAUCCCAACACCACGGGAAGAAGCCAGCCUGUUGGAUGAGACUCAUAUGGUCCAGUCACCCGGGAUGCCUUCGCUGACAACAGGCCAAGUGCCUAACAGAUGAAGCCAUCUAACAUCAGAAAAACUGCCCACCCGAAUCACGAGCUAAAUAAAUGUUUUAGGCCAUUUUA